GAUGAACGCUGGCGGCGUGCUUAACACAUGCAAGUCGAACGGGAAUUAUUUUAUUGUCACUUCGGUCGAUUUAAUUUAAUUCUAGUGGCGGACGGGUGAGUAACGCCUGGGUAACCUGCCUUAUACAGGGGGAUAACAGUCAGAAAUGGCUGCUAAUACCGCAUAAGCGCACAGAGCUGCAUGGCUCAGUGUGAAAAACUCCGGUGGUAUAAGAUGGACCCGCAUUGGAUUAGCUGGUUGGUGGGGUAACGGCCCACCAAGGCGACGAUCCAUAGCCGGCAUGAGAGGCAGGGCCGACACAUUGAGGCUGGGCCACAGUCCAGAAUCCUACGGGAGGCAGGAAUGGGGGAUAUUGCACAAUGGCGGAAGCCAUGAUGCAGCGACGCCGCGAGAAGGAAGUAGUAUGGCAGUAAGUAAAGUGCAAUCAGCAGGGAAGAUAGUGACGGUACCUGAUCAAGAAGCCCCGGCUAACUACGUG
rnacentral:rRNA from 1 species